rnacentral:rRNA from 1 species
GUGGGGAAUAUUGGACAAUGGGCGAAAGCCUGAUCCAGCCAUGCCGCGUGUGUGAAGAAGGUCUUCGGAUUGUAAAGCACUUUAAGUUGGGAGGAAGGGCAGUAAGUUAAUACCUUGCUGUUUUGUCGUUACCGACAGAAUAAGCACCGGCUAACUUCGUGCCAGCAGCCGCGGUAAUACGAAGGGUGCAAGCGUUAAUCGGAAUUACUGGGCGUAAAGCGCGCGUAGGUGGUUUUGUAAGUUGGAGGUGAAAUCCCCGGGCUCAACCUGGGAACUGCCUCCAAAACUGCAUGACUAGAGUACGGUAGAGGGUAGUGGAAUUUCCUGUGUAGCGGUGAAAUGCGUAGAUAUAGGAAGGAACACCAGUGGCGAAGGCGACUACCUGGACUGAUACUGACACUGAGGUGCGAAAGCGUGGGGAGCAAACAGGAUUAGAAACCCCAGUAGUCC